UACGGGGGGGGGCAAGCGUUGUUCGGAAUUACUGGGCGUAAAGGGCUCGUAGGCGGCCAACUAAGUCAACGUGAAAUCCCUCGGCUUAACCGGGGAACUGCAUCUGAUACUGGAUGGCUUGAGUUCGGGAGAGGGAUGCGGAAUUCCAGGUGUAGCGGUGAAAUGCGUAGAUAUCUGGAGGAACACCGGGUGGCGAAGGCGGCAUCCUGGACCGGCACUGACGCUGAGGAGCGAAAGCCAGGGGAGCAAAGCGGG
rnacentral:rRNA from 1 species